rnacentral:rRNA from 1 species
UGGGGAAUAUUGCACAAUGGGCGAAAGCCUGAUGCAGCGACGCCGCGUGAGGGAUGACGGCCUUCGGGUUGUAAACCUCUUUCAGCAGGGACGAAGCGCAAGUGACGGUACCUGCAGAAGAAGCACCGGCUAACUACGUGCCAGCAGCCGCGGUAAUACGUAGGGUGCAAGCGUUGUCCGGAAUUACUGGGCGUAAAGAGUUCGUAGGCGGUUUGUCGCGUCGUUUGUGAAAACCAGCAGCUCAACUGCUGGCUUGCAGGCGAUACGGGCAGACUUGGGUACUGCAGGGGAGACUGGAAUUCCUGGUGUAGCGGUGAAAUGCGCAGAUAUCAGGAGGAACACCGGUGGCGAAGGCGGGUCUCUGGGCAGUAACUGACGCUGAGGAACGAAAGCGUGGGUAGCGAACAGG